AGAGAACCUUACAUUGGGUUUCUGUGUUAAACAGAAUCAAAAUGAAGAAUGCUAUUCUUGCCUUAGUUCUUAUCGCCUGUCUAGUGUCUAUGACAUCAGCUCGGACUCCAUCUUAUGGAAAAUGCUACUACUGGAAAAGAUGUAGCAUCUGGAGGCCAUGCGGCUGAGAAAAAUAUUGCGACUUCAGAUAUGGCCGUCAUGGAUACUGCUGUAGUCGAAAUCAUGGCGGUCACGGUGGUUAUGCUCACGAUGAUGGUUAUUUUGGAUAAUAUGGAUACCAAAUAUCUGCACACAAAUACAAUAAAACAACUUUUGAUCUUGAAUGAUUUCCAUCUAUUAUCAACAUCGAAAUUUCAUACUCUGUAAAACGCAACUGAAUCUUUUGAUUAAAUUCCUCAUUUUUUCAUGCUUUUUUUUUAAAUCUUUAUCACUCAAUUUUAUCAAAUUAGGGGACCUGAUCAAGAAUGAUCAAUAUA